rnacentral:pre_miRNA from 1 species
ACACGGGUUUCACUGGCACCCAGUACGUUGGACAUUUGUGUGAAAGUGAGGCCAGUGUGGU